CCUCAGCCUCUUGGCCUGGGGCUUGGUCACUCAGGCACAGCUGGCUGCCGGCGGAGCUCACGGGCACGUCACUGCAACCCCCCCCCGGCUUCUACUCCGCGGCUGCUGAGUGACCCCUCAUCUGGGGCUCUCCUCAGCUCUUUCUGGGACAGUGGCGCGGUUGCCCCUCUGUUAGUCUUCCUUGGUCUCUUGUGCUCUGAGGGCCUCUGGAUGUCUAAAGUUUUGAUCUCCUCCAUACCUGCUUCAUGCCCUGGUGGACGAGGCUGUGGCUCCCCACAUGCAGAUCAUUACAUGAAGGAACCUUUUAAAAACAAGCGCGUUCAUGCUCACAGGUGUACACACGGAUGAUCACACACACAAACUACACCCUUUUUGGCUCCUACCUCAAUGCACACUGUGCUGUCGAUCUUGCAUGCUGCACAAUAAUGUUUAAUAUUUAGUAUUUUGUUUUUUUCUUCUUUCUUUCUCAACAGGUGAUCCAGGUGAUUGAUAUAUGUAUUUUUUUUGUCUGCUUAUUUUGUUGGUUUUUGUUUUUUGCCCUUUAUCCCCGUCCCUCUUCUCUGCUGUUUUUCUUUCCCUCUUUCUUUCUCCCUAUUCUUUUCCUCAUUCAAGUCUGUCCAAUAUCUAACAAGUGAAAAUAAAAAAUAAAAUAAACAAUAAAAGGUGAAUCAAAUAGAUCAUUAAGGCAAGGCUGGGAUGGUCCAUUUGGUAAAGUAAAUCCGUUGGGCAUCUUUCUUCGCCUUUAGACAAUAAUUCUAAUGGCAAAAGAACCAAACGGGACAGUCAAAAAAAAAAACAUGAAAAAAACACGAAAAAACAAAAACAUUUCAAUACAAUUGGUCAGAUAUAUCAGAACAGUACUUUUGUUGUCAUUAUGGAUCGAGUUUGUUUGAUGUAAUAUGCAAUAUAUUUGAAAUGUAGACUUAAAUUAUUUUUUUUAAGGUGCUAGAACUGUAUGACGAUUGUUCUUUCCGCAUUUUUACAGGUCAGAUAGUAUAAAAUCAAGUGCUGUAUUUUCACAAUAAUGCUCCAUGUGCAGACUACAGGUCUUCAUAAGUAACUUCACCUGCUAUUCUUUUUCACAUAGUUCAUGCACAAUUUCAGUGUUAGCUGGAGCUAUUUGUUUGCAU
ensembl:lncRNA